CGGACUGAUGCCCUCUGGUUUGGGCGGUCAGCUGUUAACUGACGUCUUGUGGGAUCGAGGCCCGCUGGUCCUG
rnacentral:tRNA from 1 species